UGCAGAAUCCCGUGAACCAUCGAGUCUUUGAACGCAAGUUGCGCCCGGAGCCUCGGCCGAGGGCACGCCUGCUUGGGCGUCACGCCUCUAGGCGCUCCCCUCCCACUUGAGUUCAGCAGCUUGAUGCUGGCCUUGCUGGUGGUGGAUGCGGAUGUUGGCCUUCCGUGGCUUCACUGCCGCGGUGGGCUGAAGGAUGUGGAGUCGGUCCGUCCAACGUUAUUGGGCAUGACUGUGCUGGGUCGCUGCUGCUACUGCUCGUUGCUCGCUGGGUGCGGCAGUCUUAGCAAAUGCGGGCAUCGUCGUUGUGCCGAGUAGCCUUGUUGUCGGACUCUCACGCCAGUAAAGUUACCACGAAUGGUAUAUCAGCGGUCACACCGUUGGUUCCUCAUAUUGCGACCCCAAGUCAGGCGGGAACACCCGCUGAGUUUAAGCAUAUUAAUAAGCGGAGGAGAAGAAACUUACAAGGAUUCCCCUAGUAACGGCGAGCGAACCGGGAAAUGCCCAGCUUGAAAAUCGGAAGGCUCCGCCCUCCGA
rnacentral:rRNA from 1 species